ACAACGGCCCUUUUAAGGGCCACCCAAAUUUUCCUUCAGAGAGCAU
rfam:Oryzias latipes DNA, contig124826 in scaffold3475, strain: Hd-rR.